rnacentral:tRNA from 1 species
GCCCGGUUAGCUCAGUCGGCAGAGCGCACGGCUCUUACCCUAGUGGUCGUGGGUUCGAGCCCCACAUCGGGUC